UACGUAGGUGGCAAGCGUUGUCCGGAUUUAUUGGGUUUAAAGGGUGCGUAGGCGGCCCUGUAAGUCAGUGCUGAAAUAUCCCAGCUUAACUGGGAGGGUGGCAUUGAUACUGCGGGGCUAGAGUACAGAUGAGGUAGGCGGAAUUGACGGUGUAGCGGUGAAAUGCUUAGAUAUCGUCAAGAACACCUAUAGCGAAGGCAGCUUACUAGGCUGUAACUGACGCUGAGGCACGAAAGUGUGGGGGAUCAAACAGGG
rnacentral:rRNA from 1 species